rnacentral:rRNA from 1 species
CAGCCGCCACGGGAAUACGUAGGGCGCAAGCGUUGUCCGGAAUUAUUGGGCGUAAAGAGCUCGUAGGCGGUCUGUCGCGUCUGGUGUGAAAUCCCGAGGCUCAACCUCGGGCUUGCAUCGGGUACGGGCAGACUAGAGUGCGGUAGGGGAGACUGGAAUUCCUGGUGUAGCGGUGGAAUGCGCAGAUAUCAGGAGGAACACCGAUGGCGAAGGCAGGUCUCUGGGCCGCAACUGACGCUGAGGAGCGAAAGCAUGGGGAGCGAACAGGAUUAGAUACCCCAGUAGUCCCUGUCUCUUAUAC